UUCUCCUCACGCAACACAUAUUAUGUUGCUCGCAGGUGACUCCAUUUACAGAGAUAACAAAUCCCAACCAACAAACGGAGACAAUCGAUCAGAUGGAGUGGCGGUGACUUGGGUAGCAACGACAUCUAUUGGGCGACUUGGACAACAACAACAAUUUCACUGAAACUAAAGUCUGGGUCUUAUGGAUUGUGUGUCAACAAUUUCUAUAUCUUUCUUUUUAGCCAACUUUGCGGCCUUGUCCUUCCCCCAUUCCGAUUUCUUGCAUUUCCUAAUCAUUUCUCUCUCCUUCACCCUUCAUCUUCACAAGGGUUCGAGAGAUCUUCAAGCAGAGCUUUUUUAUAUUACAUUUCUUGAGGGGGAGACAAUCAGGGAAUGACUCUACUUCGACAAGUCUAGACGAGUCUUUGAGAGCGAGAUCAAAUAUAAGUAUCUACAGCUUAGUCAGAGCAACACUACUUUGUUGAGUUUAGUUACAUGAGUCAGAUAGAUACAUUGUUCAGUUCACUUAACGUGUAUUGUUGAGUUUUUUUUUUUUUUUUUAUGGUUUUUACUUUGUUCAUUUUAGAAAAUGAGUUUUUACUUUGUUCUUCUCAAUCACAUCGGUUAUAGCCUCUAUAUCACAAAUGAUCAACUUCAAGAAUACAAUUAAAUGGUUCAGCAUAAGUUCAAAGAAAUACAAAACAGUAACUCCAAUUUUUGUAAUGCCUACCCUAAAGCUAAUUA